GGGGCUGUAGCUCAGCUGGCAGAGCGCUUGCAUGGCAUGCAAGAGGUCACGGGUUCAAAUCCCGUCAGCUCCA
rnacentral:tRNA from 2 species